UCACAUCAAUGGGAUGAAGUACAAAAACCAUAUGACCAUUGUGGUAGAUGCAGAAAAAGCAUUUGACAAAAUUCAACAUUCUUUUAUAGUAAAUGUCUUUAUCAGCAGCAUGAAAAUGGACUAAUAUAAUACUUAUGCCCUGUAAGACUUGAUCUCAUCUGGAAAAUUAACAUAAUUAUAGGAGAUAGUUCAUGAAGUUUUUUAUUGGUAUGGUUUCUGGUCAACAGU
rnacentral:lncRNA from 1 species